rnacentral:lncRNA from 1 species
UUGUAUUUCCGAUAAAAUAGUUGUAAUGAACCAAUUCAGUACCCCAUUUUCGAUUGAACCGAUUGAACCGGACAGAAUUGAUGUUAUCUAUUUUUUUAAAAGUAACUAUGAUGAGUAUUGCCAAAGAAAGAUGAAGAGAACCCAUCUUCACGCAAUAGGCCACUGUAAGUCUAUUAUAUCCACAAUUUGAUGUUAUCUAUUUUUUUAAAAGUAAAUUUAAGGUCAUAUGUGAUCAAUAGAGUGGAAUACAUUUAUAAUUUUGAAAAGAAAAAUAAUUUUUGUACUUCUUUUUUUAUCCAAUGCACUUUAUUUUUGUUUUUAUUAUGGAGUGUAUUUGAUAAAAAAGUACAAAAUAAAUUACCAAAUUUACUCUAUAAUAAGGACAAAAAAAGAAAUACAUUUGAUAAAAAAAGAGUGCAAAAAUCAUUCUCCUUUUAAAAAUUAACAAUAUUAGUCGAUUGUGAACACGUGUAGUGUGUCCUUCAAAAGUUGAAUAUACUAUGUUAAAUACAAAAUGUGGGACACAGGAAUAUUAAGCCAAAGCACCGAAGGAGCAAAGAAAGAAUAGAGUUUUAGUAUAAAAAAAAUUACAAGGAACCUCUACAACAGAUUAAACCGAAUAUAAUGUUUAUUAAUGUGUAAUGUUUGUCAUUUCGUAUCUGUUUCAGUGGUAGGUAAUUCAUUACACUGGUAAAGAAAAAAGAUGAGAGCAUGCUGACCUCCCAUAAAAGAGCAUGUGGUCUGCGAUGACCAGCCUUCAAGGUCAUAGGCAGUCCAUCAAUUGAUUGACAAGUACUUUUUACUUCCUCAAAUUUCUCUACUUUUGAUUUUAGUUAGGGGUAUGGGUACGCCUAAAAUAUACCCUAAGAGAGAGACACAUAAGAAGAGUGAGUCACACACACUUGGGGUGAUGUGGGGCCCACUUUCCUUGUGUCUCUUUCCUAGAAGUGCACUUUGGAGUAUACCCAUAGCAAUUAGAGUGUUUGGUUAUAGGUCCAAGAGAACUUUUCCCUGAUAAAGACGAGCUAUGUGAAUUUUUAAAUCAGAACUCAAUAGAAUUUUGGUGGUUAUUAUUUUAUUUUGAUAGUCUAAUUCAUUUUCUUUAAGAUUUAAAAUGAACAAAAAAUUGGACUACCGGUAAAUAUGCACCCGUACCUUAAGAAGAAUUAUAUAUAAAAGUCAUGACUCAUGACCCCUCUAAUAAAAAUGACUAAGAUAUAUCUUAAUUCAGCCCUUGACCCAGAAAUAUACAUAUAGAUUUCUAAACGUCUUUACCAUCCCAAAAUUUGAUUGUAAUUAAACAAAAUUUCUUUACACCAGAAAUAUAUACAUAUUCUGGCAGAAUGAUAUAGAGACAGAAAUGAAAAGCACACAUUAAUAACACGACCCAAAGUUUAAAUUAGUCAUUAGAUUAGUCUAUCUCUGAGAACCUGAAUCCAAGACUAAAUUAUUACUAAAUUAAAAUUAGAGUAUAUUGAAUUAAUUAAAACAAAUUCAAACUAGAUUCAAUAGUAUUAUUACUGUCAAUGAGUUUGUGGACAGAUUUGACCCUCGUAAAAAACUUCUGAAAUCUCCUCACGCCCUAAUUUAAAUUGCGAAAGGAUUUAUCAAAUCCAAUUAUGAUUUAAAGAAAAAGGUGAAAUCUGAAGAAAAAAACAAGAGAGGUGAUCUUCUCCCCCCGACAGCCCCCCUCUCCCUUGUCCUCCUCUGAAUUUAUCAAAAUGCCCCCAACUGCUCUCUCUCUCUUCUUCUUUCUAGUUUUUUGUAUUCCUUUUUUUAGUUUUUCUUUUUUUCAUUAGUUUUUUUUUUUUUUAGUUUUGUUUCUUUUUUCAUUAUUUUUUUAUUUUUUUAAAUCAAUUUUUGUUAACAAAUUUUUUUUUUCAGUUUUAUUUAUUUUUUUGAUAAAUAAUUUCUUUUAUUUUACUUUUUAAUUGUAAAAUUUGGGAGUCAUUAUUUAUAAAAAAAUUUAAAAGUAUAAAAAUAUGAAUUUGGGGAUAAUUUAAAUGGAGUAAGAUUACAACAUGUGUCAAGGGUAAGAUUUUUUGUUCUCUCUCUAUAUAUAUGAAGAACACUUCUCUAGAGUUCUCAUCUUUUUCAUACCAUCACUCUUUUAAUUUAUAUCAAAAUUUGGUCAAUAACUUUUUUUUUCAAAAUCCAUAGUUAGAGCACUAUGACUGACUCAAUUUCAAAUAGUUGGACAACAAAGAGUGAUAUUCCAAGUGGAGAAAACGUCUUAGAUAUAAGUCGUGAUUAUACACCUGAAUUUACCACUGGUCAGGCAAGCAUGUUAUUUCUUAUUUCAUCAUACUAUUAUUGAAAGUAUAUCCAACAACGCUGUACUGAUGCAUAUUUAUUAUUUAUUGACAAAUUUUUAAAGUUAGAGACGAGAUGUUAGAUUAGGUGCGUAGUGUUGGUCGGCAAAAUGGUAUCGCGGUUGUUAUCAAAAGGUUUGAUAAUUCAUAGGGCGACAAACUCCCAAAGUGCAUUAUUGAUUGUGAAA